UAUUUUGGAUUAUGAUGAAUGC
rnacentral:siRNA from 1 species